CACGUGACUAACCUACCCUCGAGUGGGGGAUAACUCCGGGAAACCGGGGCUAAUACCGCAUAACAUCUCCGAAAGCAAAGCAGCGCUUGGGGAGGGGGUCGCGGCUGAUUAGCUAGUUGGCGGGGUAACGGCCCACCAAGGCGAAGAUCGGUAUCCGGCCUGAGAGGGCGCACGGACACACUGGAACUGAUACACGGUCCAGACUCCUACGGGAGGCAGCAGUGGGGAAUUUUGCGCAAUGGGGGAAACCCUGACGCAGCAACGCCGCGUGGAGGAUGAAGCCCCUUGGGGCGUAAACUCCUUUCGACCAAGACGAUUGACGGUACUGGUGGAAGAAGCACCGGCUAACUCUGUGCCAGCAGCCGCGGUAAUACAGAGGGUGCGAGCGUUGUUCGGAAUUAUUGGGCGUAAAGGGCGCGUAGGCGGUGCGGUAAGUCACCUGUGAAAUCUCCGGGCUUAACUCGGAGCCUGCAGGCGAAAC
rnacentral:rRNA from 1 species